rnacentral:tRNA from 1 species
GGGCGGUUAGCUCAGUGGUAGAGCGGCUGGCUUACACCCAGUAGGUCGGGGGUUCGAAACCCUCACCGCCCA